rnacentral:rRNA from 1 species
AGCGUAGGUGGCCUAACAUGUCAACUGUGAAACCCGGAGCUCAACUCCGGACUUGCAGUUGAAACUGGUAGGCUUGAGGACGGUAGAGGAAGACGGAACUGCCAGUGUAGGGGUAAAAUCCUUAGAUAUUGGCAGGAACGCCGGUGACGAAGGUGGUUUUCUGGGCCGGUUCUGACACUGAUGCUCGAAAGCCAGGGGAGCGAACG